rnacentral:rRNA from 1 species
UACGGGGGGAGCAAGCGUUGUUCGGAUUUACUGGGCGUAAAGGGCGCGUAGGCGGCGUGACAAGUCACUUGUGAAAUCUCCGGGCUUAACUCGGAACGGUCAAGUGAUACUGUCGUGCUAGAGUACAGAAGGGGCAACUGGAAUUCUCGGUGUAGCGGUGAAAUGCGUAGAUAUCGAGAGGAACACCAGUGGCGAAGGCGAGUCCCUGGACAACACCUGACACUAAGGCACGAAAGCUAGGGGAGCAAACAGG